CCGUUAAACCUCACCACCCCUAGCAAUAUCAGCCUAUAUACCACCGUCGCCAGCUUACCCUGUGAAGGAAUAGAAGUAAGCACAAUGGGUAAAACCCAAUACGUCAGGUCGAGGUGUAGCAAAUGGAGUGGGAAGAAAUGGGCUACAUUUUCUACCACAGAAUAAAACGGAUACGCAACAUGAAAACCAAUGCUUGAAGGAGGAUUUAGUAGUAAAAGGGAAAAAGAGAGUCCCUUUGAACCCGGCUCUAAGGCGCGUACACACCGCCCGUCACUCCCCCCUGUCAAAAUGCGCCAAUAUACCUUAAAAACCAGCACCGACAAGGGGGGAAAAGUCGUAACAAGGUAAGUGUACCGGAAGGUGCACUUGGACAAAAC
rnacentral:rRNA from 1 species